CUGGGCGUAAGGGCACGUAGGCGGUGAAUCGGGUUGAAAGUGAAAGUCGCCAAAAAGUGGCGGAAUGCUCUCGAAACCAAUUCACUUGAGUGAGACAGAGGAGAGUGGAAUUUCGUGUGUAGGGGUGAAAUCCGUAAAUAUACGAAGGAACGCCAAAAGCGAAGGCAGCUCUCUGGGUCCCUACCGACGCUGGGGUGCGAAAGCAUGGGGAGCGAACAGGAUUAGAUACCCUGGNUAGUCCA
rnacentral:rRNA from 1 species